AGUUUUGGUGUGUGUCUAACAGGUGUUCACCACGUGGGACUGCUGGGUGAAGAAGGCCUCUGGAGGGCUGCAGCAGGAUGCCAGGCCUUCAUCUCCUCCUACAUUCGGCAUCCCCAACAGCAGGAGUGUUUCCACCUCUCUGGAUGGGACCAGAAGGCUCGGAGGCCAGCAGGGAACGACAUAGGAGAAGAACUGAGCAGAGCCCAGACCCUCAAAGAACAGCUCCAGAAGCUCCAGGAAGAGUUUUAUCACCUGCAUUGGAGCAUAAAGGAUGUCACCGAGCGUGCUC